CACAUUUGAGGGUAUUUUUGUCUUUUUCAUUCUCAAAUAUAGCUAUGUGUCUUCUUUAUGUAUCUUCAAUGUACACAUCACUCUUUACCUUCAUCUCAAAAAACUUUUCCUUUCUCCAACAUUCCUUCCAGCCUUCAGAUACUUUUUGUCAGGGUGAUAUGCGAUAAAAAUGUAUCACUACAUAAAUGAUACACAUUCAAUGUAAAUAAAGUAGUCAGGAACUUAUUUUAUGCAUUUAGCUCAAAAAAUUUGUUUAAUGUUGGGCCCGUACUUGUACGGGCCAUCUCUACCUAGUAACUUAUAGAAAGCUUUUUGUUGGUCAAAAGGAAAAAAUUAAGUUCAUCUAUACUCCA